GAUGAACGCUGGCGGCGUGCCUAAUACAUGCAAGUCGAGCGAACAGACGAGGAGAUUGCUCCUCUGACGUUAGCGGCGGACGGGUGAGUAACACGUGGAUAACCUCCAUCUAAGACUGGGAUAACUUCGGGAAACCGGAGCUAAUACCGGAUAAUAUAUUGAACCGCAUGGUUCAAUAGUGAAAGACGGUUUUGCUGUCACUUAUAGAUGGAUCCGCGCCGCAUUAGCUAGUUGGUAAGGUAACGGCUUACCAAGGCAACGAUGCGUAGCCGACCUGAGAGGGUGAUCAGCCACACUGGAACUGAGACACGGUCCAGACUCCUACGGGAGGCAGCGGUAGGGAAUCUUCCGCAAUGGGCGAAAGCCUGACGGAGCAACGCCGCGUGAGUGAUGAAGGUCUUCGGAUCGUAAAACUCUGUUAUUAGGGAAGAACAAUUAUGUAAGUAACUAUGCACGUCUUGACGGUACCUAAUCAGAAAGCCACGGCUAACUACGUG
rnacentral:rRNA from 1 species